rnacentral:rRNA from 1 species
UGGGGAAUAUUGCACAAUGGGCGCAAGCCUGAUGCAGCCAUGCCGCGUGUGUGAAGAAGGCCUUCGGGUUGUAAAGCACUUUCAGCGGGGAGGAAGGCGUUAAGGUUAAUAACCUUGGCGAUUGACGUUACCCGCAGAAGAAGCACCGGCUAACUCCGUGCCAGCAGCCGCGGUAAUACGGAGGGUGCAAGCGUUAAUCGGAAUUACUGGGCGUAAAGCGCACGCAGGCGGUCUGUCAAGUCGGAUGUGAAAUCCCCGGGCUCAACCUGGGAACUGCAUUCGAAACUAGCAGGCUAGAGUCUUGUAGAGGGGGGUAGAAUUCCAGGUGUAGCGGUGAAAUGCGUAGAGAUCUGGAGGAAUACCGGUGGCGAAGGCGGCCCCCUGGACAAAGACUGACGCUCAGGUGCGAAAGCGUAAGGAGCAAACAGGAUUAGAUACCCUGGUAGUCCACGCCGUAAACGAUGUCGAUUUGGAGGUUGUGCCCUUGAGGCGUGGCUUCCGGAGCUAACGCGUUAAAUCGACCGCCUGGGGAGUACGGCCGCAAGGUUA